rnacentral:rRNA from 1 species
UACGUAGGGUGCAAGCGUUAAUCGGAAUUACUGGGCGUAAAGCGUGCGCAGGCGGUUUUGUAAGUCUGUCGUGAAAUCCCCGGGCUCAACCUGGGAAUUGCGAUGGAGACUGCAAGGCUAGAAUCUGGCGAGAGGGGGGUAGAAUUCCACGUGAUAGCAGUGAAAUGCGGUAGAGAUGUGGAGGAACACCGAUGGCGCAAGGGCAGCCCCCCUGGGAUCGAAGAUUGAC